AACUGGGAUAUCCAGUACUACAGAUCCAGAUAAAAAGAAAAAAAUAAGAGAACCCUGAGAUAAAUCUGAGUCAUCUGAAGCGCAGCUGAGAAAACAGAGAAGUGUCUGAACUCAAAGCAGCACUCCCUAGUUGCUAACACGGGGAUGAUUAACAAAGAUGGACAACAGCAUUAUAGUCACUUUGGGCAGCUGAAGCUGACCACGUAAGUGCAGCAUACCAAGUCAGGCGAGGAAGGGGCAUAAAAUUUGCCCUCUGAAAAAAAAAGAGAAGAAACACCCCUCACUUGCAGAAAGAAAAUUCUGACUAGGAAAUACCAGGGAGCUUGCAUGAAAAGCAGUAAGACAAACAGAUCUGAUCUCUAUGUGGCCCAUGUCAAAAUUCCUCUGGAUGGCAGCAAGACUGGGAUCCAACUGGAAUCACGCAGAUUCAGCUGCCAGGAAACACGAGUAACCUGUGCGCAUGACUACCUUUGUGUUUACACUUCGUGCAGCUUCCAGCAAUGCACCUCUUUUUGGGACAGGGCAGUUUUUAAGUCUGAUCCUCUCAGUGCGCUGCUGGUUGUGCACCCACACAAACUGGGGAACCAGCUGGACACAGAUAUCACCAACUCUUUCUGAGAUGUGUUGCAGAUGGAGCACAGAGACUCUCAGACUCUAAGAUGAUAUAUGAAUCCUGAGGCAAAAGAAGACCUGAACCCAAACAAUCAACUGGGGCUUUCACCAUCUGACCAACUUCCUCUACAGUCUU
rnacentral:lncRNA from 1 species